rnacentral:rRNA from 1 species
CGGAUUNAAGGCUGAAGUUCGCCUUCAUGAAGCCGGAAUUGCUAGUAAUGGCAGGUCAGCAUACUGCCGUGAAUACGUUCCCGGGCCUUGUACACACCGCCCGUCACACCAUGAGAGUUGGGAAUACCCGAAGCCUGUGAGCUAACGUAAGAGGCAGCAGUCGAAGGUAGAAUCAAUGAUUGGGGUGAAGUCGUAACAAGGUAGC